rnacentral:rRNA from 1 species
UAGGGAAUCUUCCGCAAUGGACGAAAGUCUGACGGAGCAACGCCGCGUGAGUGAAGAAGGAUUUCGGUUCGUAAAACUCUGUUGUUAGGGAAGAAAAAAUGUAUAGUAACUAUAUACAAAAGAGACGGUACCUAACCAGAAAGCCACGGCUAACUACGUGCCAGCAGCCGCGGUAAUACGUAGGUGGCAAGCGUUGUCCGGAAUUAUUGGGCGUAAAGCGCGCGCAGGUGGUUUAGAAAGUCUGAUGUGAAAGCCCACGGCUCAACCGUGGAGGGUCAUUGGAAACUAAUAAACUUGAGUGCAGGAGAGAAAAGUGGAAUUCCUAGUGUAGCGGUGAAAUGCGUAGAGAUUAGGAGGAACAUCGGUGGCGAAAGCGGCUUUUUGGCCUGCAACUGACACUGAGGCGCGAAAGCGUGGGGAGCAAACAGG